AUACGGAGGGUGCAAGCGUUAUCCGGAUUCAUUGGGUUUAAAGGGUGCGCAGGUGGGAAUGUAAGGUCAGUGGUGAAAUACUGCCGCUUAACGGUAGAACUGCCAUUGAUACUGUCAUUCUUGAGUAUUGUUGAGGUAGGCGGAAUGUGUCAUGUAGCGGUGAAAUGCUUAGAUAUGACACAGAACACCGAUCGCGAAGGCAGCUUACCAAGCAAUAACUGACGCUCAUGCACGAAAGCGUGGGGAUC
rnacentral:rRNA from 1 species